CGUUGCCCCCACCGGGUUGCUCCUGCGCUGAGGGCCUGUCCCCUGGUGGUCAGUCUCCGGCGGCGCACCGCGCGCCGGAGGGAUUCGCGGGGAUCCAGGGAGCUCCAUCAGAACCGUCUGGGACUGUAGACAGGAAUGUUGCCCAGGGAUGUGCUUGCUGGCAAGGAAACGUGCCUGUUAACAACACCAGACACGUCCACUCCAGCUGAAGUGAUAGAGGGGCUGCGGCUUGGAUUUCUACCCAAGAGGAGUGAGAAGGUCAAAAUCAAGGUCACCAGUGGACCCCUUUCCAAAUCUAGUCUCCAUCCCUGCCUCCUGGCCUUCAGUACACACCGGAGACGACCUGGGACGUGGGACGUUUAACCCAUCUGUGUUUUCAUUCACACCUGAUGAAGCCCACCAAGUCAGAAUGGAUUUUAGAAGUUACGGGAGAAACAGUCUUGGACCACGUGGUGUUCUGGUUUGGCCAUGCCAACUGGCAGGUGAAGACAUGCUGAUUCCCCUUCUCCCUCUGGGGUCUGGCAGGAUUUGGACAAGGAUGAGCUGUCCCCUUCCCCAUACUGGAUGAUGACAUGGCCGCCUCCCAGUGAGUGCUCCACGAGGACCGGAGUCCGCCUUAAUGCCUGAUCCAGGGCCAUGUGAAGUUCCUGCAGCAGCCGCUGCUCCUCCGCCAGCUCUCCCGGAGAUCAUAGAGCCAUCGUUUCCGCAGGCCCCAGUCCCAGCGAUGGAGACUUCUGAUCAAUGCCCCCAGGAUUCCACCUCAGCCAGAUCUCCUAGAUUUUAUCCACCUCUCCUCGUGAGUACUGAUGGGAAGGGGGAA